rnacentral:lncRNA from 1 species
GGGUCUAAUCGGAGCUGUAGCCACUGGCCUAUGCCAGAGCCACAGCAAUACACGAUCCAAGCCACGUCUGUGACCUACACCACAGCUCAUGGCAACGCCAGAUCCUUAACCCACUGAGCGAGACCAGGGAUUGAACCCUCAACCUCAUGGUUCCUAGUCGGAUUUGUUAACCACUGCGCCACGACGGGAACUCUGGAACUCCCUCAAUAUAUCUUUUAAGGUAGGUUUAGCAUUGCUGUAUUAUUUUAGUCUUUGCUUGUCUGAGAAAUUCUCUGUCUCUUCUUUUAUUCUAAAUGAUAAUCUUGAUGGGUAGAGCAUCCUAGGUUACAGUCCUUUCAGGACUUAGAAUAUACCAUGCCUCUCCCUUCUGGCCCACAAAGUUUCUUCAGAGAAAUCAGUUGAUAAUAUUAUGGGGGUUACCUUGUAAAUACUCUUUCUCUUGCUUCCUUUAGAAUCCUCUCUUUAUCUUUAACUUUCACCAUUUUCAUUGUAUGUCUCCGCGUGGGACUCUCUCUGCUUCCUGUAACUGGAUAUCUGUUUCCUUCUUUAGAUUUGAGAUGUUUUCAGCAAUAAUUUCUUCAAAUACUUUUUUGAUCUCCUUUUCUCUUGUCCUCUGGAACCCCUAUUAUAUAUAAAUUGGCACGUUAUAUUAUCCUAUAGAUUUUUUAUGCUGCUUUUUUUUCCCCAUUAUCUUUCUGUCUGCUCUUCUGACUGGGUGAUUUCCAUUAUUCUCUUUCAGAUCAUUUAUUUUUUUCUGUGUCAUUUAGUUGGCUACUCAUUACCUCUAGAUUACGUUGUAUCUCAGAAGUUGAAUAUCUAUUUUUGAUUGGUUCAUCUUUAUAGUUUGUAGUUCCUUGUUAUAGUGAUAUGCAUUUCUAUUGAUAAUCUUUCUUAAUCCAGUUAGCAUUUUUAUUACCACCUUUUUGAAAUUGAGUAUGGUAGAUUGGUGAGCCCUGUUUCUUUCUUCUUUCAGGGGUGUUUCUCUUGCUUUUGAAAUUGGGAGUAGUUCCUCUGCCUUUCCAUUUUAUUUAACUUUCUCUGUCUUUAUGAAUUUAGGAGAAACAGUUAUCUAUUGUGGUCUUGAAGGAGUGUUUUUAUGUGGGAGCAUCCCUGUGUAGACUGUGUGUGUCCAGUGUCUUUUGUUCAAGGGCUAGUUUUGAUAUGGAUGCCAGCCACAUCUUUCCUCAGGGUGUGCUGCCUGCUGUCACCUUUAUAGGGAUGUGGUUGAGCCCUGUCUCCAUACUGUUUUCCACAGUGGUUGCACCAAUUUACAAUCCCACCAACAGUGUACGAGGGUUCCUUUUUCUCCACACCCUCCUCAGCACUUAUUAUUUGUAGGCUUUUUGAAGAUGGCCAUUCUGGCUGGUGUAAGGUGGUACCUCAUCGUGGUUUUGAUUUGCAUUUCUCUAAUAAUGAGUGAUGUUGAAUAUCGUUUCAUGUGUUUUUUGUCCAUCUGUAUGUCUUCUUUGGAGAACUAUCUGUUUAGAUCUUCCCAUUUUUUGAUGGGGUUGUUUGUUUUUUUGGUAUGGAGCUGCAGAAGGUGUUUAUAAAUUUUGGAGAUGAAUCCCUUGUCAGUUGAUUCACAUGCAAAGAUUUUUCUCCCAUUCUGUGGGUUGUCUUUUCAUUUUGUUUAGGGUUUCCUUUGCUGUGCAGAAACUUUGAAGUUUGAGUAGGUCCCAUUAGUUUAUUUUUGUUUUUACUGUCAUCACUCUAAGAGGUGGAUCUAAGAAGAUGUUGCCGUCGUUUAUGUCAGAGAGUGUUUGGCCUAUGUUUUCCUCUAAGACUUUUGUAGUGCCUGGUCUUAUAUCUAGGUCUUUAAUCCAUUUGGAGUUUAUUUUUGUGUAUGGUGUGAGGGAGUGUUCUAAUGUCAUUCUUUUCCAUGUGGCUGUCCAGUUUUCCCAGCACCACUUAUUGAACAAGCUGUCUUUUCUCCAUUGUGUAUCCUUGGCUCCUUUGUCAUAGAUGAGUUGGCUGUAGGUGCAUGGGUUGAAUUCUGGGCUUUCUAUCCUGUUCCACUGAUCUAUAUUUCUGUCUCUGUGCCACUACCAUACAGUUUUGAUGACUGUAGCUUUUUAACAUAGUCUUAAGUCCAGGAGCCUGAUGCCUCCAGCUCCAUUUUUCUUUUUCAGGAUGUCUGUGGCUAUUCUGGGUCUUUUGUACUUCCAAACAAACUUUAGAAUAUUUAGUUUGAGUUCUGUGAAAAAUGUCCUUGGUCAUUUGCUAGGGAUUGCAUUGAACCUGUAGAUUGCCUUGGGUAGUAUAGUCAUUUUGAUAAUAUUGACUCUUCCAAUCCACAAGCAUGGUAUGUCUUUCCAUCUAUUUGUGUCAUCUUUGAUGUCUUUCAUCAGUGUCUUAGAGUUUUCAGAGUACAGGUCUUUUGUCUCUCUAGGUAGGUUUACUCCUAGGUAUUUUAUACUUUUGGAUGUGACGGUAAACGGGAUUGCUUCCCUAAUUUCCUUUUCUGCUUUUUCAUUGUUAGUAUAUAGAAAUGCCAUUGAUUUCUGUGUAUUAAUUUUGUAUCCUGCGACUUUGCCAAAUUCGUGGAUGAGCUCUAACAGUUUUCUGGCAGAGUCUUUAGGAUUCUCUAGGUAUAUUAUCAUGUCAUCUGCAAAUAGUGAUAGUUUUACCUCUUCCUUUCUGAUUUAGAUUCUUUUUAUUUCUUUUACUUUUCGGAUUGCUGUGGCUAGGACUUCCAGAACUAUGUUGAAGAGUAGUGGCAAGAGCAGACAUCCUUGUCUUUUCCUGAUCUCAGUGGGAAUUCUUUCAGCUUUUCACCAUUGAGAAUGUCGUUAGCUGUGGGUUUGUCAUAUAUGGCCUUUAUCAUGUUGAGGUAGGUUCCCUCUAUGUCCACUUUCUGAAGGCUUUUGAUCAGCAAUGGGUGUUGGAUUUUUUGAAAGGCUUUUUCUGCAUCUAUUGAGAGGAUCAUAUGGUUAUUAUUCUUCGGUUUGUUAAUGUAGUGUAUCACACUGAUGGAUUUGCAGAUAUUGAAGAACCCUUGCAUCCCUGGGAUAAAUCCCACUUGAUCAUUAUGUACAGUCCUUUUAAUGUAUUGUUGGAUGUGGUUUGCUAGUAUUUUGUUGAGGAUUUUUGCAUUGAUGUUCAUCAAUGAAAUUUUUUGUGGUAUCUUUGUCUGGUUUUGGUAUCAGGGUGAUUGUGGCCUUAUAAAAUGAGUUUGGGAGUAUCCCUUCCUGUGCAAUUUUUUGAAAUAGUUUCAGAAGGAUAGGUAUUAGCUUUUCUCUAAAUAUUUGAUAGAAUUGGCCUGUGAAGCCAUCUGGUCCUGGACUUUUGUUUUCUGGAUGUUUUUUAAUCACAGUUUCAACUUCAGUCCUUUUGAUGGUUCCAUUCUUCUUUUCUAUUCAUCUUGGUUUAGUCUCGGAAGAUUGUACCUUUCUAAGAAUUUGUCCAUUUCUUCUAGGUUUUCCAUUUUAUUGGCAUAUAAUAGUCUCUUAUGAUCCUUUGUACUUCUGUGAUGUCUGUUGUUACUUCUCCUUUUUCAUUUCUAAUUUUAUUGAUUUGAGUCCUCUCUCUUGUUUUCUUGAUAAGUCUGGCUAAGAAUUUAUCAAUUUUGUUGAUCAUUUCAAAGAACCAGCUUUUUGUUUCAUUGAACUUUUCUAUGGUUUACUUCACUUCUAUUUCAUUGAUUUCUGGUCUGAUCUUUAUGAUUUCGUUCCUUCUACUAACUUUAGUUCUUGGCUGUUCUUCUCUCUUGAGCUGCCUUAGAUGUAAAGUUAGCUUGUUUAUUUGAGUUUUUUCUUGCUUCCUGAGGUGGGCUUGUGUUGCUAUAAACUUUCCUCUUAGAAUGGCUUUUGCUGCAUCCCAUAGGUUUUGGAGCGUUGUAUCUUUGUUGUCAUCUGCUUCUAGGUAUUUUUUAAUUUCCUCUUUGAUUUCUUCAGUGAUCCAUUGGUUGUUGAGUAGCAUGUUGUUUCGUCUCCACAUGUUUGUGUUUUUUGCAGUUUCUUUCUUGUUGUUGGUUUCCAGUUGUAUAGUGUUGUGGUUAGAAAAGAUGCUUGAUAUGACAUGAUGUUCUUGAAGUUACCGAGGUUGGAUUUGUAGCCCAGGAUGUGAUCAAUCUUAGAGAACAUUCCAUGUGCACUUGAGAAGAAUGUGUAUUCUGUUGCUUUUGGAUGGAACGUACGAUAAAUAUCCAUUAAGUCCAUCUGGUUUAAUGCUUCAUUCAGGGCCUGUGUUUCCUUCUUGAUUUUCUGUCUGGAUGAUCUGUCCAUUGCUGUAAGUGGGGUGUUUAGGUCCCCACUAUGAUUGUGUUAUUGUCGAUUUGUCCUUUUCAGGUUGUUAGCAGUUGCCUUAUAUAUUGUGGUGAACCUAUGUUGGGUGCGUAGAUAUUUAAAAUUGUUAUAUCUUCUUCUUGGAUUGAUCCUUUGAUCAUUAUGUAGUGUCCUUCCUUGUCCCUUAGAAUGUUCUUCAUUUUAGAGUCUAUUUUGUCUGAUAUUAGUAUUGCUACUCCAGCUUUCUUUUGAUCCCCGUUUGCAUGGAAUAUUUUCUUCCAUCCUCUCACUUUCAAUUUGCAUGUGUCCCUAGAAGUGAAGUGGGUCUCUUGAAGACAGCAUAUAUAUGGGUCUUGUUUUUGUAUCCAUUCAGCCAGUCUAUGGCUUUUGGUUGGGGCGUUUAGUCCAUUAACAUUUAAGGUAAUUAUUGAUAUGUAUGUUCUUUUUACCAUUUUAUUAAUUACUUUGGAUUUGUUUUUGUUGCUCUUUUUUCUUCCUUUCUUUUCUUGUUGUCUCCUCUUGUUGUUUGAUGACUAUCUUUAGUGUUGUAUUUGAGUUUAUUUUUCUUAUUUGUUUGUGUAUCAAUUGUAGAUUUUUGGUUUGCCGUUCUGAAGUUUUGAUGUAAGAGUCUAUAUGUAUAUGAGAUUGUUUUAAGUUGUUGGUCUCUUAAUUGCAAGUUCAUCUCCAGUGUCUUGCAUUUGUACCCACCUCUUCUCAUGAUUUCUGAUUUUGGUGGCAAUAUUGUGCCUGGAUGAUUUCAUAUCUUUACUGAAUAUAUACCUUUACUGGUGAGCCUUGUCAUUUGUGGUAUUUUUGUUUCCCGUUGCUGUCUUUUCUUUUCUGCCUAGAGAAGUUCCUUCAUUUCGUAUUUGUUGUAAGGCUGGUUUAGUGUUGCUGACUGAAUUCUCUCAGCUUUUGUGUGUCUGUAAAGCUUUUGAUUUCUCCUUCAAAUCUGAAUGAGAGCCUUGCUGGGUCAAGGAAUCUUGGUUGGAAUUUUUUUUCCUUUCAUCACAUUAGGUAUAUCAUGCCACUCGCUUCUGGCCUGUAGAAUUUCUGCUGAAAAAUCUGCCGAUAGCCUUAUCAGGGUUUCCUUGUAUGUGAUUUGUUUCUUUUCCCUAGCUGCUCUCAAUAUUUUCUCUUUGUCUUUAAUUUUGGUCAGUUUGAUUAAUAUGAGUCUUGGGGUAUUCCUCCUUGAGUUAAUUUUAUGUGGUACUUGUUGUGCUUCCUGGAUUUGAGUGAGUGGUUCCUUUCCCAUGUUAGGGAAGUUUUUGGCUAUUAUCUUUUGGAAUAUUUUUUCUCUCCCCUUCUCUCUCUUCUCCUUCUGGCACCCCUAUAAUAUGGAUGUUGGUGUGUUUAACAUUGUCCCAGAUUUCCCUGAGACUCCCUUCAUUUGUUUUCAAUCUUUUUUCUCUUUUCUGUUCUGCAUCCUUAAUUUCCACCAAUCUGUCCUCCACCUAGCUUAUUUGUUCUUCUGCCUCCUUUAUUCUGCUGUUGGCUUCUUGUAAUGAAUAUUUUAUUUCAGUUAUUGUAUUUUGCAUCUGUUCUUGUUUAAGUUUUAUAUCUUGUAUCUCUUUGGUCAGUGUUUCCUGUAAGUUAUCCCUCUUUGCCUCUAGUUUAUUUCCAAUGUCUUGCAUCAUCUUCAGCAUCAACAGUCUAAAGUCUUUUUCCUGGAAGCUGAGAAUCUCCUGAUCAUUUAGCUGUUUUUCUGUUUUUUUUCUUUCUCCCUCAUCUGAGUUAUAGCUCUCUGUCUUUUCAUUUUGAUAGGUUUUUGGUGUGGUGACCGUUUUACAGGUAAUAGAGUUGUAGCCUCUCUUACUUCUGGUGUCUGCCCCCCUAUGGCUGAAGUCGAUAUGGGGGGCUUGCUGUAGGCUUCCUGAUGGGAGGUACUGAUGCCUGCCCACUGGUCGGUGGAGCUGAUUCUAAUCCCUCUGGUGGGUGGGGUUUUGUCUCUGGAUGUGACUAGAGGUGGCUGUGUCCCUGCAGGUAUUUAGGCAGCCUGUUUGCUGAGGGGCAGUGCUGUGAUCCCACCUGGAUUUUUGUUUGGCCUGGGGCCUCUCAGCACUGACUGACGGGUGGGGCCAGAUUUUCCCAAAAUCGCCACCUUCAGAGAAAGCCAUGCUGCUGAAUAUUCCUGAGAGCUUUGCUUCCAAUGUCUUUCCCUCACAACAAGCCACAUUCACCCCUGUUUUCCCAGGAUGUCCUCUGAGGACUGCAGUCAGGUUUGCCCCUGGUUCCUAUGGAGACUGCUUUGCCCUGGGGCCCAGUGCAUGUGAAAGUCUGUGUUUGCCUCUUAAGAAUGGGGUGUCCGUUUCCCCCAGUCCCAUGGAGCUCCUGCACACAAGCCCCAUUGGCCUUCAAUGCCAGAUGCUCCAGGGGCUCUUUCUCCCAGUGCCAGAUCCCCACACAUCAGAGUUGGAUGUGGGGCUCAGAACUCUCAUUCCUGUGGGUGAGUCUCUGUGAACCAGUUAGUUUCCAGUCUGUGGGGCUUCCCACCUAGGAGGUAUGGGGGUGCUUAUAUCAUGUAAUCACCCCUCCUACCUCUUGAUGUGGCCUCUUUGUCUUCUGGAGGAGGAUAUCUUUUUCAAAAUUUCAGGUCUAUUUGGUUGAAGAUUGCUCAGCUUUUAGUUGUAAUUUUGUUGUUUUUAGGAGAGAAGUUGAGCUCCAGUCUGUCUAUUCUGCCAUCUUAAUCUCUAAUUCCCAUAAACAUUACUUUUAAAGGGGCAGUCUGACAUUAUGCCUUGGCACAGAGCAUUACUGUGCCCACUCAGUGACUAUGAUGGGCAGUCAGCUCUCUCUUAUAACUGUAUAUGCUCUCUCUUGGAUUUGCUUUCCCUAUCCAAAACAUAGGAUGGAGCUGGGGAGUUCAGAUAUUUCAAGAACUUAUCCCACAUUUGAAUUUUAUCAAAACCAUGUUUUGCCCACAACCAGGCACUAUCCUAGUUGAGACCAAGAGCCCUUUUAGGACUCCAAAAGGCAAUGGUUUAGUUCCUGAAGUCUUCCUUACUCUUCCUGAAGUGGCCCUUUAAAAAGUCAACAUUUAACUCAAGUCCUCUUGGCUUCAGGGAGAAGCGAGAGCUUCUUUAGUUUCCAAGUCAGAAUAGGCUCAAGGACAGCUUUGCAUUCUCUCAAAUCAUGCUUUAGUAUUUCCAAUAUUAAUGUUGAAAAGUUGGGAUGAUUGAACUAACUUGUUUGUAGGUUAGACUUGAGACAGGGGAGAGCAGUACUUUGAUUUAAAAUCUGAGAGCAGGACUUCUCUUGAGGGUAGCAGGUUAAGUAUCCAGCAUUGUCACUGCAGCAGCUUGGGUCACUGUUAUGGCAUGGGUUCGAUCCCUGCCCCAGGAACUUCCAUAUGCUGUAGGCAUGACCAAAUAAAUAAAAUAAAAUCUGAAAAUAAACUCAGACAUGGUCAAUUAAUCUUUGACAAAGGAGAUAAGCAUAUGAAAUGAGAAAAAGUUUCUUCAGCAAGUGGUGCUGGGAAAACUGGACAGCUGCAUGUAAAUCAAUGAAGUUACAUUCCCUCACACCAUGCAUAAAAAUAAACUCAAAAUGGCUUAAAGACAAACAUAAGACAUGACACACUAAAACUCCUAGAAGAGAACAUAGGCAAAAUAUUCCCUGACAUCAACCAUACAAAUGAUUUCUUAGAUCAGUCUCUCAAGCCAAUAGAAAUAAAAACAAAAAUAAACAAACAGGACCUAAUCAAACUUAAAAGCUUUUGCACAG